AUCAAAUCCAGCAUGCAGGUGACUACAGUCCCAUCCCCCGGCGUUAUCUCACAGUGGUACAGAAGGUCUGUGAGCUGCUGGAGACCCCAUGAGCUGGGACAAAGGAGCCGAGGGGCAGCAAAGGCUGCUUCCCCAGCCCCACCCUCACUUCCACUCCAGUUCCCCCAGGCAGAAAAGUGAAGCCACCGGAGCCUGCUUUGUAAUUCCCUACUCACUAAAGAAGCAAAAGGAAAUGAAAAGUCCACAAUUAUCUUUCUGUCUCCCUCUAUCAGCCCAUAAACUUGGGUAAGGGGCACAUUGUUCUUGGAAUGGACUCAGAACAGAGUAGUUAUAAUAUCAGAAUGACUUUCUUUUAGGUAACCCUUAGCAAUAAAGAGAUACCCACACACCUUAAAAAGGUGACUAAAAUCCUAAGUAGAUGUAUAGCAGGCUUAGAUUUGCCUCAUUCUCAUUCAACAAAAGUUUUAAGAGAUUUUCAAUCCAGGUGCAGUGGUUUAUGCCGGUAAUCCCAGCACUUUGGGAGGCUGAGGCAGGAGGAUCACUUGAGCUCAGGAGUUUGAGACCAGCCUGGCCAACAGAGUGAGACCCCCAUCUCUAUAAAAAAAUGUAAAAAUUAGCAGGUGUUGUGGUGCACACUUGUAGUCUCACCUACUAAGGAGACUGAGGUGGGAGGACUGCUUGAACCUGGGAUGUCAAGGCUGUGGCGUGCUCAGCCCUGUCUGAAAUAAAAUAAUAAAAUUCUAUGAUUUACAGAACUGUGCUAAGGGGAGGCUCAUGCACCUCACUAACUAGAAGCUUAAUUUGUGCAGCUUAUAGGCCCCUGCCAGGUUAGGGGUGUAAUGACCAAACAAAAGAGGGCUGAAGUUUAUGCUAGCAGCAAAUGAACACUUAAAACACAAAAACAAAGAAAAAACUUUUAUGUCAGAAAAAAACUUUAAGUCAUAAUUGCAUCCAAACAACGUAAUUGCACUCAAACAACAGCUAUGUGGGGUUUUGUCUUUGUUUUUGUUUUUUGAGACAGAAUCUCCCUCUGUCACUCUGGCUGGAGUGCCGUGGUGCAAUCUUGGCUCACUGCCAACUCUGCCUCCUGGGUUCAAGCGAUUUUCCUGCCUCAGCCUCCUGAGUAGCUGGGAUUACAGGCAUGCACACCAUGCCAGGCUAAUUUUUUGUAUUUUCAGUAGAGAUGGGGUUUCACCAUGUUGACUAGGCCGGUCUUGAACUCUUGACCUCAAGUGAUCCACCUGCCUCGGCCUCCCAAAGUGCUGGGAUUACAGGUGUGAACUACCGUGCCCAGCCUCAAACAACAGCUAUUUGGAUAAGACAAAGUAUUCCAAUAGUCCUCAGCAGUCGCAAAAACAAAAACAAAAACCCAACACUUUGGAUUCCCAUAUUAUUAUGCCUUAUUGCUCCUUGACAUCAUUUGGAUAUUUGUCCCCACCCAGUUUUCAUGCUGUGGGGCCUGCUGGGAGGUGAUUGGAUCAUGGGGGUGGAUUUCUCAUGAAUGGUUUAGCACCUUCCCCUUGGUGCUGUCCUUGCAAUAGUGAGUGAGUUCCUGUGAGAUCUGGUUGUUUAAAAGCGUGUGGCCCCGGCCGGGCGCGGUG
rnacentral:lncRNA from 10 species